UGGGGGAGCACAAGAUCCUGGCUGUGUCCCUGGUGCCCUGGGCUCCCGGGCCUGCGCUGCUGGAAUCGCGCUCCCAGCCGCGUAGCCCCCU
rnacentral:pre_miRNA from 1 species